rnacentral:tRNA from 1 species
UGGGGUAUAGCUCAGUGGUACAGUGCCUACUUAGCAUGCACGAGGUCCUGAGUUCAAUCCCCAGUACCUUCA